rnacentral:rRNA from 1 species
UACGUAGGGGGCGAGCGUUGUCCGGAUUUAUCGUGGGCGUAAAAGGCUCGUAGGUGGCGUUCGGUCCAGUCGGACGUGAAAUCUCCCGGCUUAACUGGGAGGGGUGCCGCUUCGAUACUAGCGGGCUCGAGGUCGGUAGGAGGGAAGCGGAAUUCCGGGUGUAGUGGUGGAAUACGUAGAUAUCCGGAGGAACACCAGUGGCGAAGGCGGCUCCUGGAGCCGAUU